rfam:Aedes aegypti strain Liverpool supercont1.32 genomic scaffold, whole genome shotgun sequence.
CCUCUCAUGGCAUAGCGGUAACGCGCCCUUACUAGAGAUCAGGAAGUCGUGAGUUCGAUUCUCACUAAGAAGA